GACGAACGCUGGCGGCGUGCUUAACACAUGCAAGUCGAACGGAAAGGCCCUGCUUUUGUGGGGUGCUCGAGUGGCGAACGGGUGAGUAACACGUGAGUAACCUGCCCUUGACUUUGGGAUAACUUCAGGAAACUGGGGCUAAUACCGGAUAGGAUCUCCUGCUGCAUGGUGGGGGUUGGAAAGUUUCGGCGGUUGGGGAUGGACUCGCGGCUUAUCAGCUUGUUGGUGGGGUAGUGGAUUACCAAGGCUUUGACGGGUAGCCGGCCUGGGAGGGUGACCGGCCACAUUGGGACUGAGAUACGGCCCAGACUGCUACGGGAGGCAGCAGUGGGGAAUAUUGCAAAAUGGGCGGAAGCCUGAUGCAGCAACGCCGCGUGCGGGAUGACGGCCUUCGGGUUGUAAACCGCUUUCGACUGUGACGAAGCGUGAGUGACGGUAAUGGGUAAAGAAGCACCGGCUAACUACGUG
rnacentral:rRNA from 1 species